CCUGCGGCCACCAGGGGGCGAUCAGGGUGGUUUGACUUCACUUUUGGGAGCCGUCAUGUCGUCCAUCAUUGAACGUAAUGUGACUGAGACGCUCAUUCGCUGGUUCUAGAAGUUCUACAUAAGAUAAGAUGAGAAAUUACAAUUAAAACAAAGUUUUAGUUGCAGAGGAGAAAAAGACGAAACUAGUUUCCAGCCAGUGAAGCUCGACUGCUCCUCCUCACAGACGUUAGGUUUCAUCUCCAGUUUGUGUCUUUCACUUUCACUUCAGCCGUAUUGAAAGCCAGACGUCGCGGGCGAGGCUCUUCAUCGUCAUCCUGUUGUGUGCGAGGCGUGAAAUCCGGUGGUUUACUGGACAAAGUUGACAAAGCUGAAUCUUCCUCUCCUCCAGCUCGGAUGUCGCCUCCUGGUCCAGAAAGUGAAUCCAAUGAAGUGUGUGAAGUCUGUAUUCUGUGUACUGACCAGCAGAGGGCGACUCUAUCUGAACGUGACUCUACUUCUCGGUUGAUUCAUAACCGUGAUUGACAGCUGGUACCAUCCAAUCGCUGCAGGGUCGCAGGCUCUCAGUCAGGCCACACCCCCUCUCUUCCAAAUAUGGAUACCUCUGGUUUCAAAACAACCAAGAUGGCGCCGGACAAAAUGGCAAACUGGAGGCGACAAAAUGGCCGCUCGCAAACCGACAGGUGACACCACGGCGGGUCGGCGCUCGGGUUCUGAUCAUGUUCUGACGACGUCACAACACGUGUGAUGCUCUGGUGUCCACACACUUGUGGCUGCGUCGUGAAUCAGAGGGGAAGAGAUGAGGAAGUUAUCAAACUCUGAUGAGCCGAGGGGGAAGUGAACGAGCUACAGGAAGAAGCUUCAAGUUGCCCAUGAAGAAACUCGCUCACGCCAUCGAUUCAAAUUCAUCUCCACCUGCGGCCGACGGCCUGAAAUCUACGUUUGGUAUAAAGUUUGAUCGAGGAGGAAAAUCCUCCAGAUCAUUUGACUCUUGGCUGGACCAGAGCGCCACAUCAUCUGCAUACAGGUGUUCACUUUAAGAUUAACUCUCUACUUUUCUGUUUAUUAAAAAUCCGAGUGGCGUCUGCGGGCGACGCCCGACUAUCGACUUCCUGUGACUCACUCACUUUUACGACAGGUCGGGAGAAAGAAAGACAGGACGUGAUAAAAAAAAAAAACUGCCGGAGUAGAGUCAGAGCAGGAAACUCCUCAGUGAAAACGUCCUUCAGAAACGUCCUGUGAGAGUUUUAAUGAUGAUUUAUGAAUGAUGACAUCACCACCAUGAGCUGUUGGUUCCAGAUGUUUUUACCCAGAAGUCUCCUGGGUCAUUUAACCCUGCUACUGGUUUAUGUCAUGUUUGAUUCUUCAUCUUCAUUAGUUUGGUCUGGGCCUGAAUACUACAUUACCCAUAAUCCUCCCUGCAGCUGGAGACGAUCAGAGAUUCAAUCAAUGUUAAUCCAAUCAGCUAUUGACAGAAAUAUUAAUAACUGGAUGAAAUCUGAUUUUUAUAUUAUAUAGUGAGUAUAUAUUUAUACAAAUCCCAACAAGGAGACUGGUUGUAUGAACAUAUUUCUAUUAUAUAUAUGGACACAUAUAUAAUAUGAUCUUUUGAUAAAAUAUAAGACUUGAGCCUC